AGCAGCCGCGGUAAUUCCAGCUCCAAUAGCGUAUAUUAAAGUUGUUGCAGUUAAAAAGCUCGUAGUUGAAUUUCGGGAUCAGUACGUCGGUCGUGCCUUCGGUAUGCACUGGUGUCACUGGUUCCUCCCUUCUGACGAACCGUCAUGCCAUUAAUUUGGUGUGGCGGGAAAUCAGGACUGUUACUUUGAAAAAAUUAGAGUGUUUAAAGCAGGCUCACGCUUGAAUACAUUAGCAUGGAAUAAUGAAAUAGGACGUUUGACCCUAUUUUGUUGGUUUCUAGGAUCAACGUAAUGAUUAAUAGGGAUAGUUGGGGGCAUUAGUAUUCAAUUGUCAGAGGUGAAAUUCUUGGAUUUAUUGAAGACUAACUACUGCGAAAGCAUUUGCCAAGGAUGUUUUCAUUAAUCAAGAACGAAAGUUAGGGGAUCGAAGACGAUCAGAUACCGUCGUAGUCUUAACCAUAAACUAUGCCGACUAGGGAUCGGAUGAUGUUAAUUUUUUAAUGACUCAUUCGGCGCCUUAAC
rnacentral:rRNA from 1 species